AGUGGGGUAGAGGAAUUGGUCAACUCAUCAGGCUCAUGACUUGAAGACUGCAGGUUCGGAUCCUGUCCCCGCCU
rfam:Triticum aestivum genome assembly, contig: Triticum_aestivum_CS42_TGACv1_scaffold_343159_4DL